UGAGACACUGUUGAAAAUUACCCAACAUUACUUUGACUUUUCUAUUCUUUUUCUCUUUUUAGCAAUUGUGCCCUGAGUUUGUAGAGCAUGCUGUUAUCCAAAAAGUAUGAAGAAGAUUGAAUGUCUCAUUAUAACUCUUGUCCAAAGUGUCCAAGAAAACAUAUCGAGUAACAACCAAAAUGUCACCAGCUGAGUGAAACACUUAUAAGCUUACCUGCUUCCACCACUUGCAUGAGCAAGGAUGUUUCUAUAAGGAUAAGUUCCAGCAGAAGAGAAGAGGAAAUGCAUUUCCAUCUCCAAUCUUGACUCCUCAUUUCAAGUUAUAUUAUGAGCCAAGUGAAAAAUGGACAAGAGGAAGGAAGAGUCAGAAUACAUCAGUUGCCGGCUUCCAGCCAGCUAACUACAAUGGCAGACCACAGAAUAUGCAUGACCCCGGAGGAAGGACCCAUAUCCCUGAGGUACAACUCUGUUCUUGUUUAAAAACAAAACACAUCUUAGCGUAAUAAAAUGUCCAAUGGAAUGAAUGGAGGUGGUUGGAUUUUUUCAGCUAGCAGGUGAGCUCCAAAUAGAGCAGAGAAGGAGUCAACAGGCGGUGGAGAAGAGCUGAACUCCACUGAAUCUCUGGUCUAGACAUAGGCCACUACAUGAACUAGGCCAUAGGCCACUACAGCGCACAAGCGACCAGGGAGCUUUUGCGAACAGGGGCUGCUAAGGGAGUUUCGCAAGGGAGUUCUCCAGGUGAAGGAGGAGCAAUACAGCACCCUUGGGGUAAGUGACUGUCUGUAGUGUGUGUUUGUGUUUGGGGGUUACUUGCUGUGUGCUGAGCUUGUGUUUAUCAGUCUGUUUGGUUGUUUGAAGGACUGUGUGCUGUGGCUGGCAGUUGGGGGCCUGUAUCCGAAAUGUUACGGAGGCAUUGUCGAGGAUUAUCCAGCCCUCUGACUACUACUCCAUACUAUUCAUCCAUGUGGGCACAAAUGAUACUGUGAGGUGUGACACUGAGCAGAUCAAGAGUGACUACAGGGCUCUGGGAGUAUGGGUCUAGGAGUUUGGCGUGCAGGUGGUAUUCUCUUUGAUUCUUCCUGUCAAAGGU
rnacentral:lncRNA from 1 species